CCUACGGGUGGCUGCAGUGAGGAAUAUUGAUCAAUGGGCGGGAGCCUGAACCAGCCAAGUCGCGUGAGGGACGACGGUCCUAUGGAUUGUAAACCUCUUUUGGCGGGGAACAAAGGCGGCCACGGGUGGGCGGAUGAGUGUACCCGAAGAAAAAGCAUCGGCUAACUCCGUGCCAGCAGCCGCGGUAAUACGGAGGAUGCGAGCGCUAUCCGGAUUUCUUGGGUUUAAAGGGUGCGUAGGCGGACAGUCAAGUCAGCGGUAACACUGCGGUGCUCAACGCCGUACAGCCGUUGAAACUGGCAGUCUUGAGUGGGCGCGAAGUAUGCGGCAUGCGUGGUGUAGCGGUGAAAUGCAUCGAUAUCACGCAGAACUCCGAUUGCGAAGGCAGCAUACCGGCGCCCUACUGCCGCUGAGGCACGAAAGCGUGGGUAUCGAACAGGAUUAGAUACCCCAGUAGUC
rnacentral:rRNA from 1 species